GCCGAUUUAAAAACCAUGCAAGAGCAGAAAGGCCUUUUCCACAAUAUACCCAAGUGUUGGAAAAGGCGCGGAUCUUCCCCGGGUAGGGUCACCGCGCAGGUCGGAGGCUUCUGAACGACGUCGUUUUCUUAAUCAUAUAUAAACUACAAUAAAACCUAAACAGAUAGCCCCCUAUCAUUUUUUUAAAAAGAAACUGAAGAACCCUAAAGGUUCCCUGCGCCGUUCCAAAGACUGGCGGUCCA
rnacentral:lncRNA from 1 species